UACGUAGGGUGCAAGCGUUGUCCGGAAUUAUUGGGCGUAAAGGGCUCGUAGGCGGUCCAUCGCGUCGGGAGUGAAAAGCUGGGGCUUAACCCCAGUCCUGCUUUCGAUACGGGUGGACUAGAGGUAGGCAGGGGAGAACGGAAUUCCUGGUGUAGCGGUGAAAUGCGCAGAUAUCAGGAGGAACACCAAAGGCGAAGGCAGUGUCCUGGGGAGUACCUGACGCUCAGGUGCGAAAGCCAGGGGAGCGAACGGG
rnacentral:rRNA from 1 species